rnacentral:rRNA from 1 species
AACGAACGCUGGCGGCAGGCCUAACACAUGCAAGUCGAGCGGACCUUUCGGGGUCAGCGGCGGACGGGUGAGUAACGCGUGGGAAUAUGCCCUUCUCUACGGAAUAGUCCUGGGAAACUGGGGGUAAUACCGUAUACGCCCUUUGGGGGAAAGAUUUAUCGGGGAAGGAUUAGCCCGCGUUGGAUUAGGUAGUUGGUGGGGUAAUGGCCUACCAAGCCGACGAUCCAUAGCUGGUUUGAGAGGAUGAUCAGCCACACUGGGACUGAGACACGGCCCAGACUCCUACGGGAGGCAGCAGUGGGGAAUCUGAGACAAUGGGGGCAACCCUGAUCUAGCCAUGCCGCGUGAGUGAUGAAGGCCUUAGGGUUGUAAAGCUCUUUCAGCUGGGAAGAUAAUGACGGUACCAGCAGAAGAAGCCCCGGCUAACUCCGU